rnacentral:rRNA from 1 species
GACGAACGCUGGCGGCGUGCUUAACACAUGCAAGUCGAACGGAAAGGCCCUGCUUUUGUGGGGUGCUCGAGUGGCGAACGGGUGAGUAACACGUGAGUAACCUGCCCUUGACUUUGGGAUAACUUCAGGAAACUGGGGCUAAUACCGGAUAGGAGCUCCUGCUGCAUGGUGGGGGUUGGAAAGUUUCGGCGGGUGGGGAUGGAACCGCGGCUUAUCAGCUUGUUGGUGCGGUAGUGGCUUACCAAGGCUUUGACGGGUAGCCGGCCCGGGAGGGUGACCGGCCACAUUGGAACUGAGAUACGGCCCAGACUCCUACGGGAGGCAGCAGUGGGGAAUAUUGCACAAUGGGCGGAAGCCUGAUGCAGCAACGCCGCGUGCGGGAUGACGGCCUUCGGGUUGUAAACCGCUUUCGCCUGUGACGAAGCGUGAGUGACGGUAAGGGGUAAAGAAGCACCGGCUAACUACGUG